UUUAAAGUAUGAGUAUGUCCCAUCAAACAUUUGGGACAUAUUUAUACUAAAA
rnacentral:pre_miRNA from 1 species